GGGUUUGAUAAAACUUUUUUUGCAUAUAAGUUUAGUCAUCAUUUCUGACCAAAUCCA
rnacentral:tRNA from 1 species